rfam:Citrus sinensis cultivar Ridge Pineapple sweet orange scaffold00059_contig_79, whole genome shotgun sequence.
UGCCUAUUAGCUUAGUUGGUAAGAGCGUCGUGCUAAUAACGUGAAGGUCACAAGUUCGAGACCUGCAUGGGCCA